GGGGGAAUAGCUCAGUGCAAGACUGCAUGCUUAGCAUGCAUGAGGUCCUGGGUUCAAACCCCAGUACCUCCA
rnacentral:tRNA from 1 species